rnacentral:rRNA from 1 species
AGAAGAUACUAAGGGCGCACGGCGGAUGCCUUGGCACAGGAAGUCGAAGAAGGACGCGGCAAGCUGCGAUAAGCUCCGGGGAGGCGCAAACGGCCUUCGAUCCGGAGAUCUCCGAAUGGGGGAACCCAGCAGGGGUCAUGCCCUGCUACCCGCGCCUGAAUGAAAUAGGGCGCGAGGAGGCAACCCGGGGAACUGAAACAUCUAAGUACCCGGAGGAAGAGAAAUCAACCGAGAUUGCGGGAGUAGCGGCGAGCGAAACCGCACCAGCCCAAACCCAUGCACGUGCAAGCUUGAGGGCGUUGCUGCAUGAGGGGUUGUGGGACCGCGCAUUCCAUGGGCCUCAGACCAUGGACGCAGUUACAAAUCCGCGCGGAAGCGGAACGGCCUGGGAAGGCCGGCGGAACAGGGUGAGAGCCCCGUACGCGAAUCCGCGCGGACUGCGAGUGCGGCACCCGAGUAGCGCCGGGCACGUGAAACCCGGUGCGAACCUGGGGGGACCACCCUCCAAGGCUGAACACUCUCCUGUGACCGAUAGCGAACCAGUACCGUGAGGGAAAGGUGAAAAGCACCCCGAGAGGGGAGUGAAACAGUACCUGAAACCGUGCGCCUACAAGCAGUCGGAGCCCCCGAGCGGGGUGACGGCGUGCCUUUUGUAGAAUGAGCCAGCGAGUUGCGGUAUGCGGCGAGGUUAAGGUUUGAACCGAGCCGCAGUGAAAGCGAGCCUUUAAGAUGGCGUAUGAGUCGCAUGCUGCAGACGCGAAGCCGGGUGAGCUAUCCAUGGGCAGGCUGAAGCGGGGGUAAGACCCCGUGGAGGGCCGAACCCACUUCGGUUGAAAACGGAGGGGAUGACCCGUGGAUAGGGGUGAAAGGCCAAUCAAACCCGGAGAUAUCUCGUUCUCCCCGAAAUAGCUUUAGGGCUAGCCUCGGCCGUUCUCCGACGGCGGUAGAGCACUGGAUCGUCGAGGGGGCUUCACCGCCUACCGACACGAACCAAACUCCGAAUGCCGCCGGAUCAGAGGCCGGGAGUCAGAACAUGUGGGCUAAGCUGUGUGUUCGAGAGGGAAACAGCCCAGACCGCCCGCUAAGGUCCCCAAAUCCAUGCUGAGUGGCAAAGGAUGUGCGUUUGCCUAGACAACCAGGAUGUUGGCUUAGAAGCAGCCAUGCAUUUAAAGAGUGCGUAACAGCUCACUGGUCAAGUGGACAUGCGCCGACAAUUCACGGGGCUAAGCAUGGUACCGAAGCGGCGGACUAAUCUAUAUUAGUGGUAGGGGAGCUUUCCCCGCAGCGGAGAAGCCGAGAGGGCGACCCUCGGUGGAGCGCGGGGAAGUGAGAAUGCUGGCAUGAGUAACGAGAGCGGCGCGAGAAACGCCGCCGCCGUAAGCCUAAGGGUUCCUGGGCAAGGCUAAUCCUCCCAGGGUCAGUCGGGAGCUAAGGCGAGGCCGAGAGGCGUAGCCGAUGCGCAACAGGCGGACAUUCCUGUACCGCCUGCGGACCGCUAUCACCGACGGGGUGACGGAGAAGGGUAGCCGAGCGGGGUUCUGGACGUCCCCGUGAAAGCGCGUAGGGAGCAUCGCAUGGAAAUCAGCGGUGCACGUAUCCUGAGACGCGAGACGAAAGCUUAUGCUGAAGUCGGCGAGCCCAUGCUUCCGAGAAAAACCUCUAGGAAGGGACGCAGGCGCCCGUACCAAAACCGACACAGGUGGGCAGGUAGAGCAUACCGAGGCGAUCGGGAGAACCAUGGUUAAGGAACUCGGCAUACUGACUCCGUAACUUCGGGAGAAGGAGUGCCCCUGGCGGUGACGGGACUUGCUCCCCGAGCGGCCGGGGGUCGCAGCGAAACGGCCCAAGCGACUGUUUAUCAAAAACACAGGACUCUGCAAAGCCGUAAGGCGACGUAUAGGGUCUGACGCCUGCCCGGUGCUGGAAGGUUACGCGGAUGGGUCAGCCGCAAGGCGAAGCUCUGAAGCCAAGCCCCAGUAAACGGCGGCCGUAACUAUAACGGUCCUAAGGUAGCGAAAUUCCUUGUCGGGUAAGUUCCGACCUGCACGAAUGGCGUA